UGGGGAAUAUUGCACAAUGGGGGAAACCCUGAUGCAGCAACGCCGCGUGAGUGAUGAAGGUCUUCGGAUCGUAAAGCUCUGUCUUCAGGGACGAUAAUGACGGUACCUGAGGAGGAAGCCACGGCUAACUACGUGCCAGCAGCCGCGGUAAUACGUAGGUGGCGAGCGUUGUCCGGAUUUACUGGGCGUAAAGGGAGCGUAGGCGGAUUUUUAAGUGAGAUGUGAAAUACCCGGGCUCAACUUGGGUGCUGCAUUUCAAACUGGAAGUCUAGAGUGCAGGAGAGGAGAGUGGAAUUCCUAGUGUAGCGGUGAAAUGCGUAGAGAUUAGGAAGAACACCAGUGGCGAAGGCGACUCUCUGGACUGUAACUGACGCUGAGGCUCGAAAGCGUGGGGAGCAAACA
rnacentral:rRNA from 1 species